rnacentral:piRNA from 1 species
UGAUUAUAGUGAAUUCUGCAGUGCGCAA